GGUCAAGUUAUUAAGGGUGCAGGGCGGAUGCCUUGGCACUAGGAGCCGAUGAAGGACGUGAUAAGCUGCGAUAAGCUUCGGGGAGUUGCACGUAAACUUUGAUCCGAAGAUUUCCGAAUGAGGAAACUCACUUAGAGUAAUGUCUAAGUAUCAUUAAGUGAAUACAUAGCUUAAUGAGGGGAACUCAGGGAACUGAAACAUCUAAGUACCUGAAGGAAGAGAAAGAAAUUCGAUUCCGUAAGUAGCGGCGAGCGAACGCGGAUUAGCCCAAACCAAUAAAGUUUUCUUUAUUGGGGUUGCGGACAUAUCAUAACGAAGAGGUAUCGUAAUUGAAGAGGUUUGGAAAGACCCACCACAGAAGGUAAUAGUCCUGUAUGUUAAACGAGAAGACUUUAGAUAUG
rnacentral:rRNA from 1 species